UGUAUUUGUUCUUAACGCUGUGUGAUUAAAAGAAUAAACACAAAUACCAGGAUAGGCACACAUAUUUGCUACAUCUUGCCCCACUGAAAAGGUAUUGCACUGCCACUGAUACUGUUAAAAUAUUGGCAUAGUUCAUCCCUGUGCUGCUUGGCUCGAGCUCUGUGUGGCAAAUUAGCCAAGUAAAAAU